rnacentral:rRNA from 1 species
UACGGAGGAUCCGAGCGUUGUUCGGAUUCAUUGGGCGUAAAGGGUGCGUAGACGGCGGGGCAAGUCUGAUGUGAAAUCCCGGGGCUCAACCCCGGAACUGCAUUGGAUACUGCCUUGCUUGAGUACUGGAGAGGAGACUGGAAUUUACGGUGUAGCAGUGAAAUGCGUAGAGAUCGUAAGGAAGGCCAGUGGCGAAGGCGAGUCUCUGGACAGUUACUGACGCUGAGGCACGAAGGCCAGGGGAGCAAACGGG